AAACGACUCUCGGCAACGGAUAUCUCGGCUCACGCAUCGAUGAAGAACGUAGCAAAAUGCGAUACUUGGUGUGAAUUGCAGAAUCCCUUGAACCAUCGAGUUUUUGAACGCAAGUUGCGCCCGAAGCCAUCCGGUUGAGGGCACGUCUGCCUGGGCGUCACGCAU
rnacentral:rRNA from 1 species